rnacentral:rRNA from 1 species
AUUGAACGCUGGCGGCAGGCCUAACACAUGCAAGUCGAGCGGCAGCGGGACCUUCGGGUCGCCGGCGAGCGGCGGACGGGUGAGUAAUGCCUAGGAAUCUGCCUGUUAGUGGGGGAUAACGCGGGGAAACUCGCGCUAAUACCGCAUACGUCCUACGGGAGAAAGUGGGGGACCCUCGGGCCUCACGCUAACAGAUGAGCCUAGGUCGGAUUAGCUAGUUGGUGGGGUAAAGGCCCACCAAGGCGACGAUCCGUAACUGGUCUGAGAGGAUGAUCAGUCACACUGGAACUGAGACACGGUCCAGACUCCUACGGGAGGCAGCAGUGGGGAAUAUUGGACAAUGGGCGAAAGCCUGAUCCAGCCAUGCCGCGUGUGUGAAGAAGGUCUUCGGAUUGUAAAGCACUUUAAGUUGGGAGGAAGGGCGCUCGGUGAAUACCCAAGCGUCUUGACGUUACCGACAGAAUAAGCACCGGCUAACUUCGUGCCAGCCGCCGCUGUAAUAC